UCCUCUUGGACACCACUUUCCACGAGGCAGGGUCAAGAUGGAGGUAGGCCUUCGACUGCGGAUCCUUCCUCUGACACCGUCCAUGAGAGGAACACAUGAUCUGACUGCAAAGCGUAGCCGCUGAUGUCACGUUUACCAGGGCUCUGCAGAGUAAGGAAAAAGUGGACCACGGACAGACCCGUGUGAAUGAACAGGGAGGGAAAGGAACAAAGGAAUGGCUUCAUUUCCGUCUACUCUCGGCUUCCCUUUGACCUCUGCCUCCUGAACAUUACAUCAGCUGGAGUCAGGGAUCGUCAGGAAGCUAAAACAAUGGCAGGGAAACUGCCAACACACCCUACUAUCUUCCCUUUUUGUCCCAAACACUUUAUGAAUUGUGAUACAUGUGGGGUAAUCCUCUGACUUGGUGAAUUUGAACUGAGGAAUUAUAAAUGGUUGUAACAUCCAAACAUCCAGUUUAUAUGAGAAUACAACAAAACCCACAUUUAAAGGCUCAUAAUGCAAACAAAGUCUGAAACUGAGGAGCACAUAUCCCAAAAAGUUGAUCUGGAUGUAACGUUUUGAGUGGGGGAAAAGUUUCAUCACUCAUCAAAGUGACUUCGUCAGUCUCUGAGGAGUGCAAACAUUACAUCAUUUGUAACUAUAACCUUAUUUUGUGGCUUUAUUAGAAAAAAUAGGAGAUUACCACUAAGUUUCCUCAACUUAUUUGUAAUGACUAUGUAUAAUCUCACUGUAACACGGUCAAAUGUAACAGAAUCCAUGUGAGAACUACCACAAAAAUGGCUACAGUAAGCACCUUUGUUUUACUUUAAAGCACUACAGUUUGUUAAAUGACUCCCAUGUAAACAAUAUAUCUAUUUUACUGUUCAUAAUUCAAA